GGAAGUGGUAGCUCAGUGGUUAAGGUGCUGGUCUGCUGAUUGGAAGGUCAUGAGUUCAAAUCCCAGCACCACCA